UUAGGUAACAAGGAAAGCCUAUCCAAGAGACUAACGCUAGCCCAAGUUGGCUCUGGGCCUGCAGCCUUCCAUCCUGCCCACAUCUCUGCAGUUUCUAAUCAGUCAGUCUUUGCAGGCAUAACUUCUUUCCAGACUUCUUUGUGCAUAGAGAUACUCCUAAGAAUAACCCAGAUACUCCAUUGGAUUUCACACCAGAAAACUAUAAGAGGAUAGAGGCAAUAGUAAAAGACUACCCAGAAGGGCAUAAAGCAGCAGCUGUGCUUCCAGUCCUGGAUCUAGCCCAGAGGCAGAAUGGAUGGCUACCUAUCUCCGCUAUGAGCAAGGUGGCAGAAGUUUUACAAGUUCCUCCAAUGAAAGCAUAUGAAGUAGCAACUUUUUAUACAAUGUAUAAUCAAAAGCCAGUUGGGAAGUACCAUAUUCAGGUUUGCACUACACCUUGCAUGCUUCGAGACUCUAACAGCAUAUUGGAGACCCUUCAGAGAAAGCUUGGAAUAAAGGUUGGAGAGACUUCACCUGACAAACUUUUCACUUUUAUAGAAGUGGAAUGUUUAGGGGCCUGUGUAAAUGCACCAAUGGUUCAAAUAAAUGACAACUACUAUGAGGAUCUGACACCCAAGGAUAUUGAAGAGAUUAUUGAUGAACUCAGAGCUGGGAAAGUUCUAAAACCAGGGCCAAGGAGUGGCCACUUCCGUUGUGAGCCAGCCGGAGGCCUUACUUCUUUGACUGAACCAUCCAAAGGACCUGGCUUUGGUGUGCAAGCAGGCCUUUAACUUACAUUCAACUGUAAAAAUGUCACUGGAGAAAUAAAAUGAACUUACCU